rnacentral:rRNA from 1 species
GUAGACCCGAAACCGGGCGACCUACCCAUGAGCAGGAUAAGCAAAAGUAAAAUUUCGUGGAGGUCCGAACCCACGAGCGUUGAAAAGCUCGGGGAUGACUUGUGGGUAGCGGUGAAAUUCCAAUCGAGCCCGGAGAUAGCUGGUUCUCCCCGAAAUAGCUUUAGGGCUAGCCUCAAGGUGAGAGAUACGGAGGUAGAGCACUG